GACGAACGCUGGCGGCGUGCCUAAUACAUGCAAGUAGAACGCACAGUUUAUACCGUAGCUUGCUCCACCAUAGACUGUGAGUUGCGAACGGGUGAGUAACGCGUAGGUAACCUGCCUGGUAGCGGGGGAUAACUAUUGGAAACGAUAGCUAAUACCGCAUAAUAUUGAUUAUUGCAUGAUAAUUGAUUGAAAGAUGCUAUUGCAUCACUACCAGAUGGACCUGCGUUGUAUUAGCUAGUAGGUGAGGUAACGGCUCACCUAGGCGACGAUACAUAGCCGACCUGAGAGGGGGAUCGGCCACACUGGGACUGAGACACGGCCCAGACUCCUACGGGAGGCAGCAGUAGGGAAUCUUCGGCAAUGGACGAAAGUCUGACCGAGCAACGCCGCGUGAGUGAAGAAGGGUUUCGGAUCGUAAAGCUCUGUUGUAAGAGAAGAACGGGUGUGAGAGUGGAAAGUCCACACUGUGACGGUAUCUUACCAGAAAGGGACGGCUAACUACGUG
rnacentral:rRNA from 1 species